GGCGCGGUCGUGGGUACAGAUACGUCGCACUUCAGUUGGGUUUGGUUCGCGUUUCGCGACUGGCCUCUGGCGCCUCGAGGUGCCUCUUUCGUUCCGUUGAUCCGCGCACACCCGACUCCGUGGUUCGGGGACUUUCGCUCGUUCGUUCGUUUUUCCCGUGCAUCUUCAAAGUUGCAGUGCGAGUUCGUGCAAUUCCACAGACAGGCCCGACGCCUCGUUUAUUUCCAAUUGGACGUCGUGGAUGGAACAAAGUUGGUGCGCUUCAUUGCCCGGCUACAAGUAGCAUGACCCCGUUCGUGGUCAGGCACAAGUCAAAUGGAAAUUGCCCGGUUCUACACUGGCAUCGAGGUCUCGAGCACACGAUGAGGGGUCGUGGAAAGGUCAGAAAUGCCCAGUCGGACGCGAGAACGACAUCACGUCGUGACUGAGCUAUCCACCCUCCUGAAUGGAAGCAGGGCGUGUGAUAGAAGCGAGGCAACUGGACGACAGACCCGCGAAAGGGCUGGCUCGAGCCCUUAACAAGCAUUCCGGAAACGUGGCGAAAAAAUGAGGUGGCUUCUGUUCGCGUUGGUGUCACUUCUGCCGGUGGCUGGUAGCCUGCAGAGUAGUGGCGUGACGAGGGGUGGCAGUGGCAUUCAGAUCGGCACCAGCGAUCGCGGAACACACGCUAAAGGCACCGGACUGUCCGGUGGACGAGGUCACUCGGGUGUAAGACUUGGCGACGCGAGAUUCCCAAAUUCUACGAGGCAGAGACCGUUUACCACGACUACUAGCACCACACCGCCAUCCAUACCGAAAGUCACCAUCGCGCCACACUCCGCUGACAGGAACAACUCCAACACCUUGAGAGUGGGCAUGAUGGUUCCGCACAAGUCCUUCGCUGUCAGAGAAUAUACGAAGGCAGUGACUUCAGCUAUUAACAUGUUGCAGAAGAGCUCGAGAGGACCGAAAUUGAAACUUUUCGAGCAGUACGACAUCCACGUGAAGGUAGGCAUGAAGUCCCUGACGCCGAGUCCCACCGAAAUUCUGAAGUCGCUAUGCAACGAAUUUCUGCCGACGAACGUGUCCGCUAUCUUAUACCUGAUGAACUACGAGAAGUACGGCCGCAGCACUGCCAGUGCUCAAUACUUUCUGCAGCUGGCCGGUUACUUAGGAAUUCCAGUGAUCGCAUGGAAUGCGGAUAACUCGGGAUUGGAGCGAAGAGCUUCGCAGAGCAACCUACAGCUGCAGCUGGCGCCAUCGUUGGAGCACCAAACGGCCGCGAUGCUGAGCAUCCUCGAGAGGUACAAAUGGCAUCAAUUCAGUGUGGUCACAUCGCAGAUUGCCGGACACGACGAUUUCGUGCAGGCGGUCCGUGAAAGGAUCUCCGACAUGCAGGAUACUUUCAAGUUCACUAUAUUGAGCGCGAUCCUAGUCACCGAUACACGAGAUCUUCUCGAGUUGGUAAACAGCGAGUCCAGAGUGAUGUUACUCUACUCGACAAGGGAGGAAGCCAUCACAAUCUUGGGUGCGGCGCACGAUUACAAGAUCACCGGUGAAAAUUACGUGUGGGUCGUAACGCAGAGCGUGAUCGAAAACCUGCAGACGCCUAGCCAGUUUCCAAUUGGAAUGCUUGGAGUACAUUUUGAUACGAGCACGGAACGUCUGGUCAGCGAAAUCACGACCGCGGUGAAAGUUUACGCGUACGGCGCCGAGGAUUUCUUGAACAAUCAGGCGAACAGUCAUCUCAGUCUGAACACCCAGCUCAGCUGCGAGGGAAGCUACGGCGAAUCCCGCUGGAACGCUGGGGAUCUGUUUUUCAAGUAUUUGAAAAACGUGUCUGUGGAGGGUGAUCAGGGGAAGCCGAACGUCGAGUUCACCCAGGACGGCGUUCUGAAAUCAGCCGAACUGAAGAUCAUGAAUCUCCGUCCCGGAUUAAGUAAACAGCUCGUUUGGGAGGAGAUCGGCGUGUGGAAAUCCUGGAAGAAGGAAGGUUUGGACAUCAAGGACAUCGUCUGGCCAGGAAAAACCCAUACACCACCGCAAGGAGUGCCGGAGAAGUUUUAUUUGAAAAUAACCUUCUUGGAGGAGCCGCCCUACAUCAAUCUCGCGCCUCCAGAUCCUGUGACCGGAAAAUGUCUGGUGGAUCGCGGUGUUCACUGUCGAGUAGCCAAAGAUUCCGACAUGGAUGAGAUGGACGUUCAAGCGGCACAGAAGAACGAGAGCUUUUAUCAGUGCUGCAGCGGAUUCUGCAUCGACCUGCUUCAAAAGUUCUCCGAGGAAAUCGGCUUCACUUAUGAGCUUGUUAGAGUCGAAGAUGGGAAAUGGGGCACGCUAGAGAAUGGAAAAUGGAACGGUUUGAUAGCUGAUCUGGUGAAUCGGAAAACGGACAUGGUAAUGACAUCUUUGAUGAUUAAUUCUGAAAGAGAAGCCGUGGUUGAUUUCACGGUACCGUACAUGGAGACUGGUAUCGCCAUUGUUGUGGCUAAGAGGACUGGUAUAAUAUCUCCCACUGCCUUCCUUGAACCAUUCGACACCGCCUCUUGGAUGUUAGUUGGCAUCGUCGCCAUACACGCGGCCACGAUUAUGAUACUACUGUUCGAAUGGUUGUCACCAUCCGGUUUCAACAUGAAGGUAAACCCUUCAGACGCUGCGCAGAAACCGAAGAAUCCAUCGCCCAAUCAUCGGUUCUCCUUCUGUCGGACGUACUGGCUGGUCUGGGCCGUAUUAUUUCAGGCAGCCGUCCAUAUUGAUUCUCCCAGGGGAUUCACAGCCAGAUUCAUGACGAACGUGUGGGCGCUGUUCGCCGUGGUGUUCCUCGCCAUUUACACUGCCAACCUGGCCGCCUUCAUGAUCACGAGGGAGGAGUUUCACGAAUUCACCGGUGUUGACGAUCAUCGUUUGUCCAAGCCAUGGUCCCACAAGCCUAUGUUCAAGUUUGGUACCAUACCAUGGAGCCACACUGACAGCACUUUGGCAAAAUAUUUCAAGGAGAUGCACGCGUACAUGAAGAAAUUCAACAAAAGCAGCGUGGCUGAAGGAAUCGAGGCGGUUAUCAGCGGAGAAAUGGACGCGUUUAUUUACGACGGAACGGUCUUGGACUAUCUGGUAGCGCAAGAUGAGGACUGCCGAUUGCUAACUGUGGGAUCUUGGUACGCAAUGACCGGAUACGGUCUCGCGUUUUCAAGGAAUUCCAAGUAUCUGCAGAUGUUCAACAAGCGCCUGCUCGACUACAGAGACAACGGAGACUUGGAGCGUCUGAGACGGUACUGGAUGACAGGUACAUGCAAGCCAGGCAAAGAGGUACAAAAAAGUAGCGAUCCCUUGGCGCUGGAACAGUUCUUGUCCGCGUUUCUCUUAUUGAUGAUGGGAAUUCUUCUGGCUGCAGCCUUCCUACUUCUGGAACAUUUGUAUUUCAAGUAUGUCAGGCAACAUCUGGCGCGAAGUGACGGUGGUGGUUGUUGCGCACUUUUCAGCUUGAGCAUGGGAAAGUCGCUGACAUUCCGUGGAGCAGUCUACGAGGCGCAGGACAUCCUGAGGUAUCAUAGAUGCAGGGAUCCCAUAUGCGACACGCAUUUGUGGAAGGUGAAACACGAAUUAGACAUGGCGAAGAUCAAGAUACGACAGCUGGAGAAGGAUCUGGAGGCUCACGGAAUAAAACCCACCCAGGCCAAUUAAAACUCUUGACCUUAGUUCAUCGAAGAGGAUCUCAAAGAAUGUGUUUAAAUUCGUCGAAAUUUCUUGACAAUAUUUAUCUGCUUCUCUUUUAAUUCUUCUAAUAUAUUCUUUAUUUCGAAUUAUGUGUUAUAGAUGUAACGCAAACAUAAGAUUCUUCUAAUAAUUAAUAAUUAAACUACGUACAUUUUUGCAUUUAUGGGAAAUUUUAAUGCGAGAAAGUCUAUAAAAAUGUACGAAAUAUUCAACCAAUAGUGUUAGGUUGUAACAUAUGAAAUGUCUGACUUUUAACAGUUCAUACUACUAAGCUUUAAAAAAAAAAAAAUACUUUUGCUUGGAAAUGUUGAAAUAUUAAAAUCAUACAUGGAAAGGAAAAUUCUCAGCUUCAUAUCGAUGGCAUACGACGGCAUAUGAUGAUACAUGAAAUUGCAUAAACAUCUGUCGUCUAUGGUCCUACAAUUUCGUUACAUAUACAUACGCAGGAAAGAAAUAAUCAGGAAGACAAUUGAUUCCCUUCGUACAAUAGCGACGUACUUUGAGAUCCUUUCGAUGAUUGAAGGAAGAAGUUCGAAACAAAGGGCAAAAGGAAGGAAACGUUCCAUCUGUGACAAAAGAAAUUCACGUGAACGAACUUUAUCUAGACUAUUCGAUACACAUUCGCUUCCUUUGAAGCACCACUCGCUUUCGAAACGAAGUAUCUCGCGCUGCAGCUCUUUUUUUUUCUCCUCCGCCAAAUUCCAACAGACCUUUGUUCUAGAAAGCUUUCCUUUAAAGGUCGACGCCUCUUCUGCCCGUUUACGAAUACGAUUUCGUGAAAGCGGAAGUGGACCCGUAACGACAGAUCUACGCAUGUUACUGCAUAGUUAUUUCACCUGUCCUCCGUAAGAUCUACCAGGAUUCAAUCUCGAUUCACGUUAUUUACAUUUUCCGAGGGAAGUUUCUACGUACAAAAGGACGAUAGAAAACAAAUAAAAAAAAUAAGUCCAUAGAAUGGUAUGAAAAUAAUAUAAAGUGUUUAACGAUGGAAAUAUAUAAAUUCUCUUGAAAAUUCCUCGAACGAGAUUCUCUAAUGGACAAUUAACGUUCGAUUAAUCGAUAAAACGUCCUACACAAUGCGCAGACGACAGAAACUGCGGAUCGAGAUUAAAUCUUCAAUUACUUUCUGACGUCACUUGGAGCCUGGCUCGCACAGCAUGCACUCACCUACGAACGAACACGUAUAUACAUUCGUAUAUACAGUCGUGAGAUGUAUAUAUAUAUAUAUUAAUUGUAUAUAAACAUACAAUGUUCGUGUAUAUACAUCCGGACGCAUAUACACACGAGUACGUUAACGUCGUGAUAUCGCCACGAGCGAUGUUGUCAUUCAUUUCUGGUUAUUCUUUGUUUCCUGAAGCUACUGCCGAUCGUGAGUUUAAGACCUCGUCCCUUAGUAAGAUGGUUUCCCUAGAGAACGUAAGAAGAACAGCUGUAAUGCCUUUGGUGGCGAUUAUUAUUGACUUAUACUACUAGUGUUGCAGAAUGAAGAGCUUAUAGAGGUUUACGAUAUUUCGGUUCGACUGAAACAAAAUAGAUUGAAACUAUUAGAUCACCGUAAGCAUUUACUUUGACAGUUCUUGAGUAUGACACCUAGUACAUGAACUUGUAUAACUUGUAAAGUUUAGUUUGCAUGGGUAUUUGGUAGAUAUACAUAGUUGUUUGUUACGGUAUUUCAAUUUGAUGAAAUUAUACAUAUGCAUAUAAGAUAGAUACAUAGAAUAAUUGUAAGAAGAUAACUGCGUUACAGUAUUUCAAACAUUUAAAAAUAUUUUUCAAAUAUAAGAAACAAGAAAUGUUACUAUACACGAUCUAUUCUUGGAAAAUAGUUUUACGUUCUGAAUUCUACUUUAGUUUAUUUCCAACAAAUAAAUGUCCUUUUCUCAAGUAUCUCUAAAUAGGAUAAUGGACUCAGAUUUACAAUUACGAAGCAAGAUUUGUAGAAAAUGUGUAAGAAGAUUUCUACAUCUUCAGAGAAACUAACAUGUAACGUCAAUCGAUGAUCUUAAACUUACGAUCGACUGUAUGUUUUCACCGUAUCACGUAUGAGAUAUGUUCGACGGCAAAUUGGCUUCGAAUUUUCGUCGAUAUUAAGAGUUUCGCCCGUGGACACGGAGGGUAGAUAGAAGAGGGAAACAAAAUGGGGCAGGAAAACGUAGGAGAAGGAGGCGAGAACGUAUGUCGCUCGUACGAAAGCAGAACUUCUCAACGACACGAGAUCUCGGAAUAAACUUCCGUUGCUUCCAGCUAGAAAAGUUUACACUGAAAACUUCGACUCGGAUAAGCCCGCAGGUGUUUGCAGAGAAUCCAGGUACAUUGUUUGGACCAAUCGCGAACGUUGUUUAAUCGAACUUGCCGGCAACAGCCGAUCCGGAUCUCGCGAUAUUCGCACCCCGUGUAAAUGACGAACUUUCCAACUUUCGUUUCAUACCCUUCCGGAAAUACAGCAGGUACUCAAUUGUGUUUCAACGGGAUUUGCUUCUCCAGAUAUUGGGUUAGAUAAUCUGAGCGAGGAAAAGAGAAACCGCAAAUUGUUAUAGAGAAAGGAAUUUUUUUGAAUCGCAGUUGAACAUCGAAAUCGACGAUGGAAAUCUAAAUUUGAAUUUGCGCUCAAGUUUUCACAAAUCGGAUAUUUUCAGUUCGAAUAUUUGAAAUUAAGUCGGUCGUCCAUAGGGAAACUUAUGUUUGUACGAUGAUAGAUAAAUUAAAUUGUCCCUGUAGAAGCUUAAUAAUUUUUGCUGACACAGGCUUUCAAAAAAUGUACAAAUGUCUGUGAUAUGUUACGUAACCAUCCCUUAAGUUAGUUGUUCUUAAAUUUAUUCAAUAGAAUUACAAAUCGGGGGAAAGAAAUUUAAGGGUGAAGUUUCCUACGGAAGAUUCAAUUUGUAUUUGAAUGGAAUUUUAAUCGCAAUUAAGUUCGCAUUUUUCGAUUCCAAUUUAGAUUUAAAUUUCUAUUGAAAUCGUUAAAGUCGAAUCUAAUAUUAAAUUUGCAGAUGUAACUAUAACGUCAGUAUGAGAGUCGAAUAAGAAAAUUAACAUUUCAUAAACUGAACUCUGCUUCGACUUUUGCCAAGUUCUUUCGUACAAACAGAAAUACGAAAUUUCUCUCUUGUCAACAAAGAAAAUGAAACGAAAAUAACAGUCGGCGAGACUUCAAACGACGAUUUCGUAUAUUUCGUCGAAGCUUCUUUCCUCGAAUAUCUUCGGCAUUUUCCAAAUACUAUUUUCCGCGUUUUAGAAUUCUACUUCGAUAUCUCUAGCGCUUUUCACGGGACUCUCUGCGUUUCUGAAAUCGCGGAAAGAUAGGAAAUCCUAAAAAAAGCUUAACAAAGGCAUAUUACACGACGAGAAAGAGAAAAAGAAAGGAUAAAAGGAUCUCUUGUCGCUUGAGACGUGUUGCUGGUACGCAUUAAGGGGUGGUUGGUGGCGAUGGACGAUGGUAGAAGAGAAGCCUGGCACAUAUCCACGUCGGCUUUUUUAAAGGAGGAAAACCGGAAGUCUCGGCUGGUGGCGAGGAUGCUUUCAAAGCUCGGAUCGCCAUUCACAAGCGGAGUCAUUGGCGGUGGAAGCUCCGCAUCCGCUACCGCCAUACUUCGAUUCGUAAGUCCGCAACGCCCAAAACACGUAAGAAUACUCGGUGACGUAGGAACCAGGGCAAAUAUUUUUCCCCGAUGUGUCCUCGAAAUAGAGUAACUUCUCGAACGACGAUUUUCCAGCAUUUUUCAUUUCCCCAAAGAGCGCUCGGUUUCUUAACAUCCCAUCAAAUCCUUCCACUUUGCUAUUCCUUUCUCGUUUUUACAUUCGAUAGAACGUAAUGUUAUAAAAAGAUUCCGCUCGAUAUAGUCGAAUAAAAAGAAAGCACUCUUUUUAUUACAGAGUUACCUUAAUCCAAUAAAAUUAUUGGAAAAGAAUCUCAGUCAAUUUUAUUAUAUUUUUAAGAACACGCGGAAUUGGGUCCUAAAAUUCCUACUUGCAUGAUGGAUCUGUAAACCAACCCCUCGUUUCGUGUAUCCUCGCGUUCUCGAAAUUACAUCGCGAAGAAACAACAAUCGCAGUAGCUGAUCUCAGCAACAAAACGGAUCUCCCUUAACUUCCGCCAGCAACGUGAUUCGCGAGAUGUACUUACUGGGUCACGGAUAGCCGGUAUUUGGCAGCGGAACAAGAGGGAGCAGAAUCAGUUGCCAAAUAUCCGGAAAAAUUCACGCUUGUUUGUCCGUCAGCUGGUGUCGUUUCGAGGCGUUUGUCAUUUAAAAGUAAACCGAGCGCCACAUAGCAAACAGAGAAACCGUAACAUAUGGUACAAGCAUGACAUCUGGCACAUCUGUUUAACAGGAAACGAUAUUGUCUUUCGGUCGGGACCAUUUCGUCGACACGUUUGAAAUUGUAAAUCGUUUCGUACAAACAGGAACGUCUUUGUAUAAUAAAUGGAAACAAUACUGUGAGGUCGUAAAAUUAAUUAUUAAUUGAAGUUUGCAGCUUCCGAUGACUCAACGAAUCGAAGAUCUAUCGAGGGUUGUAGGAACCUGGUUAAAGGCCGUGCGAUCUCAAUUCACAAUCAAUUUUUUCUUUGUGUACAUCUCAAAUAAUUUGUACUUUCUCUAAUUUGUAGAUCUAAUUCUGAAUUGUGGUUUAUUUCUCUACGGAAUAAAAUUUUUCGUCAUGAUUUUGGUACUCAGUUCAUUUCAAAUGUUAUUCAAGAAUUUCGCACCAUAGUAGCUCAAUAAAUCGAUUCACUAGGGCAGCUACUUUUACGAUAUCACAGCCAUCAAAAUUAUUAACGAAAUUUUACAAGUCACGGGCUAGAAGUUAGCGAUGCUAAUAAAUUGUCUCGCGUAACAGUAACGACAUUCGCGAUAAAAAGAAUUAGCUCUAAAAUUCGCUGUGUCAAUUUUACGAAUCACAAGCCAUCUAACUCUCCUUCUGAAUUUUAAUUCUGACUACAGAUUGGAAAUAAAAUCUUUCGGAAGCUCCGAUUUUAUGACUCCAUUAUCGAAGUACGUUGAAACGUUUGAAAACGACACGUUGAAAUAUAUUAUACAGCCUGUUACGGCAUAAUGUGUACGUAUUUUAAAUUCAACAAAGAAAAAUACAAAGAUAAAAUUUCAGUUUUCUCGGAUAUUUUCAAAUGGUUGACAGAAGAUCCUAAACUAAGUGGCGCAGUGCGUACGAUCCCAGUUGCUACUCGAGCUGUGACCUUGCUUAACUAGAUGCUUUAACGCUAAAAAUUAUAUCGCUCACCAUAUCGCCUUCCACAUAUUACCAUUUAUCACGACAAAUGGACGUCGAUUUCAACGACAAGACCGAGAACCGCUUGAACAUUCUCACGUUACUUCGUAUUCCACCGCGACUCUAACGUUCUAUCCGGCUUUAUUUUCGAAAAGCAAAGGUUCCUACGUCGCUUUGGUAGAAAUUGUCUUCGAAGUGCACGUGAAAAUCGAUGAGUCGUUAGGUGGUGGUCGUUUGGUCGACUUGGUAGUCUUUUCGCGUAGUAAAGAAUGGCGAGAACGAGAAGGGAAUCGGGAAAUGGCCAUUCGAACGUCGAUAAAUCCGUGCACUGUUGACAGAGGGGAGCAAAAUCGAUCUCGCGAGGCUUGUUUCUGUACGAUCUCCCCGGUGUCUUUUCCGCUAACGAGCCACAUUAUCCCCGUGUCCGGAAACCAUCUUGUUUUUCUUCGAAAAUAUCGUUGUAGAGGCUAUCGUAUUUCUUGCUUUUCCUUUUCGUAGCUGAAAUGGGAUUCGAACAGCGACGCGAUGGCACAGAGAUCGAAUGUUUUGGAUUCUUGUUAGUAAGCAUCUGUCGAGUCUCUAGUUUGACUCAAACUCUAGUUUGAAUUUAAAUCGGGAUUUUUUAAUUGGCGAAUUUACGAAUGGAAAUUUAGUUUGAAUUUAAAUUUGAAUCGUACAAUUCUGAUAUAGAUUUAGAUUUAAAUUUGAAUGCUUGGCUUUGAAUUUAAAUUAAACUUGAAUUAAACUAGAAUUUCAUUUUAUAUGGACGAUUCGUUCAUUUCCUUCAACCUUACUUGUCAACGCCUUGGAUAACAAAACAAAAUUAACUAAAACAAAAUACUUCAACUCGAAUUUAAAUUUGGAUGCAUGAACUUCAAUUUAAGCUUCAAUUAAAUUGGCAUUCAACUUUGUAUGGACAAUUACAGCAUUUCUUAAAAUAUUACUUGGCAAUACUUUUAAAAAUAAAACGAUAUCGGUUCUGAUCACUGGAAUAAUGUUUUUUUCGAGUAGCACGAGUCUUACGUGGCGGAAAAAGAAAAUAAUAGGACGAAGCUUCGCGAGGAUCGAUGAUAACGAUGUAAAAGUUUGAAGGAUAAGAGUAGAAGUAGAUUAUCCGCUUCGCUUGGUAGUCCAGAACGUCUGCAUAUAUUCGAAUUAUUCUUCUCUACUUUUAUUGCCUCGUACUCUUCCUUUCUUCUUUUUUUUAUUUUUUUUUUUUUUAUCUUCCUGUACAUUUAUCUAUUCACUUUGUAAACUCGUAUUUUCGUAUCGUAUCGAUCUACUUUUCAUGUGCUCGGAAGCAUGGCAUGCGAGUUCAACGACAAGUUUUCGGUAGACUCGUGACGACUGUAUCGAGAGUGCAUAGUGGAACGAUAAAUCGUGCGCGAUGGCGUUAAAUGAACGGCACAAGGAGCCAUCGAUUACGAUUGAGGAAAUUCCUGUAAAUUAGGAAAACACAGGGAGAAGAAUGUAGUACGGCGAUCGAGUCAUUUGUCCGGAAUGAGUCGUCUAACAAUGGAAUCUGAAUGGAAUGGAAUCUGAAAUCUGAUAUUUCACUCGUUCCCUGAUAACGCGAAAUUCUCGGGGCUGAAAAAUUCUGAUAUUGAAACAUUCCUGUCGUUAUACGAUGAAUUCUAUGCUAAAAGACUUCUCUAUUUGUUUAACUGGUAAUAUGCAAUCUUUUUUGUACAACUAUUAAAUAAAAAAUGCUAUAUAAAACUUUCUGCAAAGAAAUCAACGUGAAACGUAUAUAGAAAAGUAUACAACAAGUAUUAUAAGUAUUAUAAUACAAGUAUUAUAAGUGUUUAAAGAAAGUUACGAUUUGUUAAAUAUUUUAGAAAGGAAAGUCCCUUAAACUAAAUUGCCAAAAUGACAAAUUCGAUAUGCUGACGACAUUGAUAAUUCCAACGCUAAUUACGCAAACUAUUCUAUACGACUAACGUAUAUCUGUGAUUUUCGAUAAUUUUCAGAAAUUGUUUCGAUAGUAAUUAUAUUACAUCGACUUUACGAGUUAAUUUACGUAAACCUACGGUGGCACAAAUCCACUCAAAUUGAACUUAACAAACGUAAAUUCGAUCGAACCAAUUUCGAAGUAAAAUUAAUUAAGCAUAGAAGUUCCUUGCCGCGAAUGUAUCCUUUUUUGAAAGUAUUCGAGUAGGAAACGAGUGUCCUUUAUUCCGUUUGAAAUUAGCGUAACUUGCAUCCGUGACAGGAGUGUCUCUGGUCAAUCUCAAAGCUCAUUUCAGCGAAUUGCUGCGGCAAACUCUCCUUGCCUCGAUUAAUGCAGGUUGCUGCACUAAAAAAGAACCCAGGUGAUUUUCCCUUUGAGAGCGUCCAAAUUUCACGCCACAAAUUCCCCACGAAUUUGUGGCACUACGCUGUCCGGAAAGUCAAUGAAACUCAACGCUUCUCUUCAUAUUGACCCGCUUCACGAACUGUUAUAGUUUCUCUAGCACAAACAAUAUUACAUCACUCUCGUGCAUUAUAGAGCGCAUUAUAGCGAGUCUCCUAUUAUAAACCACGCCGUUUUCUCUGUACGAUGUCCUAGUCCACAUACACGUUGUUCCUAGGCGUUAAAUUAUGACUUGCAAGUACUGAAAUUUUCCUCCAGAGAAUUAAACUUUCCUCGUCUAAGGAACGACGAAAUGUAGUUGAACGUAUCCUUCUAACAUCUGCGUAACUGCGUUUGCAACGACGCUAUAACUGGCCUUGUAUUCCUUAAACGGAAAUUUUCAGAAGAUAUUUGAAAAAUACCAUCUUCGAAUGCAGGAAUUAAAAAGGUUGCUUCUUUUGAUUUAAAACAAGAAUCUUCACUGGAUCUUCUUCCGUUUCGUUUCUUUCAGCAUGAAAAUUCUAGACUGUUUCGGUGAUAGAAUCGUUAAAAAAUUUGAGAAAUCGACGGAUAUCGGUUUAAAGUUAAACGUGCUAUAGCAGAACGCGAUUCUAUAUUUUACCACAUUCUUAUCUCGACACGAACCGAUGCAUAAUUUUUUACCUAAUUUUGAGGAAUCGUGGAUUUAAGUCAAAGCCUAAAUAAUUUUCUGCUCUAUACUUGCUUUGGAAACUGGAAGCACGAAACGUGGAAGGAGAAUUAUCGAAGAAGGAAAGAGAAAGCAGUCGAAUUAAAAGCCGGUGCAACUAGCAUUUCGUCAAGAAACAUACGCUACGUUAUUUAAAAAUAUUAGAGACCAGGAGAAUACUUCAGAUUCUAAUAUUAGACGAUUCACUCUGUAUACGUCUCUUUGCCUAUCUGUUUUCAGGCAAUAAAAUUGUCUUCUCUCCAAAUUAUCAUACAGGGAUUCUCUUGAAUCUAGAUUCAUCGACGCCAUCGAUGUUGCCAGGCCUAGGGACAUGACCAGGAACCACGUGGUCAGCACGGAGUAUAGCGACAAAUUUUUGCCUCCACAGAUCUACAGGAUUCCGGACGAC